AUACAACCAAUAAUUCACCAAAACUGGUACACACUAAACAUUUAUAAAAAUAAAAAGUUUUACUUAUUAAAUGUUUAUAGGUACACGUAAACUUCUCGACAGUCGACCAACAUAUAAAGUUCCUAAUUAUAUAUUGUAUUCUUUUUUCAUAGGUUGUCCAAUGAUCUCAUACAAUACGAUCAAAAAGUUGCAUUACUUUCACAUGCAUUCAUAGUUAAACAUCGUCAAUUAGAUAAAAAAAGUUGGAAUAUAAUUUUAUUUACUAUAUUCAUUUACUGUGUUGGCUUCUUGAUAAUACAAAUACACCUUUGGAAACCACACCUUAGUAAUAUUACUUUCAUUAUAUACUUUUUUAAUUUCCCGUACAUUACGGAUUAUGUGGUUAUAAUUUUGACUUGUUUUCAUCUCGUUAACAUAGGAAAUAGAUUUCAAACAUUAAAUGAUUUUUGGAAAUGCCUUCCUGCUGAUUUAAUCCCCCUAAGUAAUGAAUGGACACAUUCGGAAAUAGCAAUGUUAGUGGAAACCAUCAGGUUAUUGCACGCGGAACUAUGUACAAUAUUAAAAUUAUUCAAUUAUAGUUAUGGUCCGUUACUUUUAGGAUUUUUUGUAUGUAAUUUCUUAGAUUUUACAUACAUAAUAUACUUAAUGAUUUAUCAUGAGAUAGAUUCACCAAAAAUCAGUUUAACCCAAAAUAUUAUAAAAUAUAUUCCAGUACACUUGGUUAACAUUCAAAUUAUAGUUUUUUUGAUGUCUAUUAUUGUUGCUGCAUCUCGGAUAACUGAUAAGGUAUUGUUUUUUUUCUAAUAAGCCACCAUCACAUUAUUAUUUACAUAAUACAUAUUUUUAAGUUUAUUAUAUUGUGUAAUAUACGUUUUAAUAUUUUUCAAUUGAAAUUUCAGAAAAAUAAAAUUAUAUCAAUAUUAAGGUUGAUACGGAUUUCAAAGUUACCUGUCGACUUAAAAAUUCAAAUUAAAAUGUUUAUGAACCAAACACCAGUAUUAGAAUUUAACGACGUAAAUUCAUGGGGAUUUUUUAAUAUCAAUUUGAAUCUAGUCAUAUCAAUCAUGUUGUUACUUUUAACAGGAUUUGCAACAUUGUUACAAAUGAAAAACCAUACAAUUAUUUUAGAUAUGGUCAAUAACACAAAGCUCCAUCACGAUAAAUGGUAAAAUAGAAGUUUCAAAUCCAGCACUGAGCCUUAUACAUACUACCACAUGAGAUUUACUGUAUUAUCACUUUUAAAUGUUAAUAAUAAGAAUUGAAAAAACAAUGAAAUUAUGAACAAAAUGUUAAAUUUCUUUAGUUAUUUUAUAGUUAAACUAAAAAUGAUGUAUUAUUAUUAUUUGUCAGAUGUAACAUAGAUUAAGAAUUAUUAUUUAAUCGUAGCCUGGUAAGUAUG